rnacentral:rRNA from 1 species
UACAGAGGGUGCGAGCGUUAAUCGGAAUUACUGGGCGUAAAGCGCGCGUAGGCGGCUUUGCAAGUCGGGUGUGAAAUCCCCAGGCUUAACCUGGGAACUGCAUUCGAGACUGCAUUGCUAGAGUAUGGGAGAGGGUCGCGGAAUUCCCGGUGUAGAGGUGAAAUUCGUAGAUAUCAGGAGGAACACCGGUGGCGAAGGCGGCGACCUGGACCGGUACUGACGCUGAGACGCGAAAGCGUGGGGAGCAAACAGG